UCCUAGCCCCGAUGGGAGCGACAUCCUUUUCCGGUGGCUGAGGCUCUCGAAGCUACCGGAAAAGAUACAGCGUACAGCGGGAAAAAGC
rnacentral:sRNA from 1 species